rnacentral:rRNA from 1 species
UACGUAGGGUGCAAGCGUUAAUCGGAAUUACUGGGCGUAAAGCGUGCGUAGGCGGUUUUCUUAAGUCUGCUGUGAAAGCCCCGGGCUCAACCUGGGAAUGGCGGUGGAUACUGAGGAGCUGGAGUACGGUAGAGGAAGGUGGAAUUCCCGGUGUAGCGGUGAAAUGCGUAGAGAUCGGGAGGAACAUCAGUGGCGAAAGGCGGGCCUUCUGGGACCCAGG